rnacentral:rRNA from 1 species
UACGUAGGGGGCAAGCGUUGUCCGGAAUCAUUGGGCGUAAAGAGCGUGUAGGCGGCCAGAUAAGUCCGCUGUGAAAUCUCGAGGCUCAACUUCGAGCUGUCGGUGGAAACUGUCUGGCUAGAGUCCGGAAGAGGAGAAUGGAAUUCCCGGUGUAGCGGUGAAAUGCGCAGAUAUCGGGAGGAACACCGGUGGCGAAGGCGGUUCUCUGGGCCUGUGCUGACGCUGAGGAGCGAAAGCGUGGGGAGCGAACAGG